AAACUUAAAGGAAUUGACGGGACCGCACAAGCGGUGGAUGAUGUGGAUUAAUUCGAUGCAACGCGAAAACCUUACCUACCCUUGACAUGUCCGGAAUCCCGAAGAGAUUGGGAGUGCUCGAAAGAGAACCUGCACACAGGUGCUGCAUGGCUGUCGUCAGCUCGUGUCGUGAGAUGUUGGGUUAAGUCCCGCAACGAGCGCAGCCCUUGCCAUUAGUUGCUACGAAAGGGCACUCUAAUGGGACUGCCGGUGACAAACCGGAGGAAGGUGGGGAUGACGUCAAGUCCUCAUGGCCCUUAUAGGUGGGGCUACACACGUCAUACAAUGGCCGGUACAGAGGGUAGCCAACCCGCGAGGGGGAGCCAAUCCCACAAAGCCGGUCGUAGUCCGGAUCGCAGUCUGCAACUCGACUGCGUGAAGUCGGAAUCGCUAGUAAUCGCGGAUCAGCAUGUCGCGGUGAAUACGUUCCCGGGUCUU
rnacentral:rRNA from 1 species